UCGGGAAUUUUGGGCAAUGGGCGAAAGCCUGACCCAGCAACGCCGCGUGAGGGAUGAAGUAUUUCGGUAUGUAAACCUCGAAAGAAUGGGAAGAAUAAAUGACGGUACCAUUUAUAAGCUCCGGCUAACUACGUGCCAGCAGCCGCGGUAAUACGCAGGAAGCAAGCGUUGUUCGGAUUUACUGGGCGUAAAGGGCAUGUAGGCGGCUUGGAAAGCCUGGCGUGAAAGUCUGCAGCUUAACUGCAGAGGUGCGUUGGGAACUGCUGAUCUUGAGUGAUGGUGAGGGAGCUGGAAUUCCUGGUGUAGGGGUGAAAUCUGUAGAUCGCAGGAAGAACACCGAUGGCGAAGGCAAGCUCCUGGCCGAUGACUGCCGCUGAGGUGCGAAAGUGUGGGGAUCAAACA
rnacentral:rRNA from 1 species